GACGAACGCUGGCGGCGUGCUUAACACAUGCAAGUCGUACGGUAAGGCCCUUUCGGUGGUACUCGAGUGGCGAACGGGUGCGUAACACGUGCGUGACCUUCCCCCAACUUUGGGAUAACGCUAGGAAACUGGAACUAAAACUAGUUCUGUGCUCCUUCUGCAUGGGGGGGGUUGGAAAGCUCCGGGGGGUGUUGAUGGACUCGAUGCCUAUCAGCUUGCUGGGGGAGUUGUGGGCUACCAAGGCGGCUACGUGUAGCCCGACUGAGAGGGUGACCGGCCACAUUGGGACUUAGGGAAGGCCCCAACACGGACGGGUGGGAGCUGUGGGGAAGAUUGCAGGAUCGGCGCAAGCCUGGUGCUGCAGCUCCGCGUGCGGUAUGACGGUCUUCGGGUUGAAAAACGAUUGCAGCAGGGACGAAGCAUGUUGUGACGGUACCUGCAGAAGAAGCACCGGCUAACUACGUG
rnacentral:rRNA from 1 species